UAAAUGUGACUUACCUGACAUUACUGUGACUUCAGUCCCCUUUCCCCAGUAGUCGAAGUAAUCACAGUGAUGCAUCUCCUGUCACUGCCUCAACAAAAACCUGCCGUAGUAGAUAAAUACCUAAAAACCUAAUUAAGGGAUUGAAAUACACAGAAAAACUGUUUAAAAAUAAUAACAUGAUUGUGUCUUGAGAGUUUUUCUUUUUUUUCUGAUUCUUAACCAGUUCUGAAAGUUAAUUUACAGGAAGAUGACAUUUACAUCUGUGACUUUAAUCUACUUAUUAACUAACUUGUAAUAACUAAUAUCCAUCUAAAAGUGAUAAACACAGUACUUACUCUACAUUCUAGUUGAAAAACAGUCUGUCCUGUUGAUUUAUCACAAUGAGAAUGGGAGAGUUUACAGUUUUUGCUCUUAGGUUUUUGUAUGGAUGAAUAUCACAGUGCCCCAUACGCCACACUGUGAUAAACCCUGUUACAAAAACCUCAGUGACCCACAGCUUCCUGCACUGGAAACGUAUCGUCAGCAGUGGUGUGCACCGUGUGAGUUACAUGGACUACUGUUCCCCACACAGACGUCCUAUUGGACUAACAAAUCCCUCUAUCGCUUUCACCGGGACUAAUUACCUGGACAAUUAGUAACCAACCCAUCUACGGGAUCGAGGGGCAAAAAAGAGGAGUAUAAAAAAGAGGAAGCUGCUGACUUAUGGGAACACGGCCGGGACAACGAGACGGUGGCGAACGGACCGACCAACCGACCGACCUCCGUCGUGAGGGGGCAUCGGCCACGACGUCCCACCACGUUCUCUACAGUCCACACUGAACAGAGCACGGCUGGAUUGACUGCAAAUGGAUCCCAGCUGUCUGACAGCUCGUGACUGGACUUUCCUGGUGGACCUUUAACUUAUUGGAAGACUGCUUUUAAAAUAUAAAUUAUCUUCAAUGUUUUGAUACUAAAUAAAAGUAUUUUUAUGCAUA